rnacentral:rRNA from 1 species
AGAGUUUGAUCCUGGCUCAGGACGAACGCUGGCGGCGUGGAUAAGGCAUGCAAGUCGAACGGGAUGGAGUCGCAAGCAAUUGCUUCUCCUGAGAGUGGCGAACGGGUGAGUAACACGUGGGUAACAUACCUCCGGGUGGGGGAUAACCCAGGGAAACCUGGGCUAAUACCGCAGAUGUCGGAUCGUCCAUGACGGACUGACUAAAGGUGGGGACCUUCGGGCCCGCCGCCUGGAGAUUGGCCCGCGCCCCAUUAGCUUGUUGGCGGGGUAAUGGCCCACCAAGGCGACGAUGGGUAGCCGGCCUGAGAGGGUGUCCGGCCACACUGGGAUUGAGAUACGGCCCAGACUCCUACGGGAGGCAGCAGUGGGGAAUAUUGGGCAAUGGGGGAAACCCUGACCCAGCGACGCCGCGUGGAGGAAGGAGCCCUUCGGGGUGUAAACUCCUGUUGUAAGGGAAGAAGGCAGUGACGGUACCUUACGAGGAAGCCCCGGCAAACUACGUGCCAGCAGCCGCGGUAACACGUAGGGGGCGAGCGUUGUCCGGAAUUACUGGGCGUAAAGCGCACGCAGGCGGAUGCGCGCGUCGGCUGUGAAAUGCACCGGCUCAACCGGUGCACUGCGGUCGAUACGGCGCAUCUGGAGUGCGGGAGAGGGAAGCGGAAUUCCCGGUGUAGCGGUGAAAUGCGUAGAUAUCGGGAGGAACGCCGGUGGCGAAGGCGGCUUCCUGGCCCGCAACUGACGCUCAUGUGCGAAAGCCAGGGGAGCGAACCGGAUUAGAUACCCGGGUAGUCCUGGCCGUAAACGAUGGACGCUAGGUGUGGGCGGUUUAUCCGUCUGUGCCGAAGUUAACGCGUUAAGCGUCCCGCCUGGGGAGUACGAUCGCAAGGUUGAAACUCAAAGGAAUUGACGG